AUUGAACGCUGGCGGCAGGCCUAACACAUGCAAGUCGAGCGGAUGAAGGGAGCUUGCUCCUGGAUUCAGCGGCGGACGGGUGAGUAAUGCCUAGGAAUCUGCCUGGUAGUGGGGGAUAACGUCCGUAAACGGGCGCUAAUACCGCAUACGUCCUGAGGGAGAAAGUGGGGGAUCUUCGGACCUCACGCUAUCAGAUGAGCCUAGGUCGGAUUAGCUAGUUGGUGGGGUAAAGGCCUACCAAGGCGACGAUCCGUAACUGGUCUGAGAGGAUGAUCAGUCACACUGGAACUGAGACACGGUCCAGACUCCUACGGGAGGCAGCAGUGGGGAAUAUUGGACAAUGGGCGAAAGCCUGAUCAAGCAAUGCAGCGUGUGUGAAGAAGGUCUUCGGAUUGUAAAGCACUUUAAGUAGGGAGGAAGGGCAGUAAGUUAAUACCUUGCUGUUUUGACGUUACCAACAGAAUAAGCACCGGCUAAGUUAGUG
rnacentral:rRNA from 1 species